rnacentral:rRNA from 1 species
UACGGGGGGGGGCAAGCGUUGUUCGGAAUUACUGGGCGUAAAGGGCUCGUAGGCGGCCAACUAAGUCGGACGUGAAAUCCCCAGGCUCAACCUGGGAACUGCGUCCGAUACUGGAUGGCUUGAAUCCGGGAGAGGGAUGCAGAAUUCCAGGUGUAGCGGUGAAAUGCGUAGAUAUCUGGAGGAAUACCGGUGGCGAAGGCGGCAUCCUGGACCGACACUGACGCUGAGGCGCGAAAGCUAGGGUAGCAAACGGGG